AAAGACCUCAAUGAAUUUGUUUCUAGUGGGUUCAGGAAAUGCGGUCUUACCACUGUGAUCCAAAACGAAGUCAUCCUGAGCAUACCGGUAUUUUUCAGGUCCACAUGCAAUGAAGACAUCAUCAUCUCCAAAGAAGUCCUGCAAGCAUGUCACCUUAAUGGCAAAACGUAUAGGAAGCCUCACCACUGAAGCAAAAGCAAGCUUUAG